GACGAACGCUGGCGGCGUGCUUAACACAUGCAAGUCGAACGAUGAAGCUAGAGCUUGAUCUGGUGGAUUAGUGGCGAACGGGUGAGUAACACGUGAGUAACCUGCCCCGAACUCUGGGAUAACUGCUGGAAACGGUAGCUAAUACCGGAUAUGACCAAUGAAGGCAUCUUCUGUAGGUGGAAAGAAUUUCGGUUCGGGAUGGACUCGCGGCCUAUCAGGUUGUUGGUAAGGUAACGGCUGACCAAGGCGACGACGGGCAGCCGGCAUGAGAGGGGAGUCGGCGACAAUGGGACUGAGACACGGCCCAGACUCCUACGGUAGACAGCAGUGGGGAGUAUUACACAAGGGGCGCAAGCGUAAUGCAGCAACGCCUCGUGAGUGAAGACGGCCUUCGGGUUGUAAACCUCUUUUAGUAGGGAAGAAGCGAAAGUGACGGUACCUGCAGAAAAAGCACCGGCUAACUACGUGCCAGCAGCCGCCGUAA
rnacentral:rRNA from 1 species